CCACCAUGGUUGCAACGGUUGGACUCUUUGUUCUUUUCGUUUUGGGCACUAGCUGGGCAUGUGAUGCCAGAGAAUUAACGACAACUGAACUCUCUAGUAGAGAAACGGUGAUAUCUGAUGUUUCAGUGUUGCAGAUAAAUCACCAGGAAUCAAAAGG